GCUGCCUACCCUUCCCACCCUCGGUCCGCAGCCGCACCGGCGACUGUGGUGUCGUGUCCCUCUUCCCCAGGGUUCUGUGAAGCCCCGGAGGACGGGGAUCCGGGUGCGACUUCGUCAGCACUCUAUCCCCCAGGGGGCCCCGGGCUGGCAUACGGUGGACACUGAACUCAUGUGCAAUUAUCCAGAAAGGUGGCCGUCCCACGAAGGGCCAGGCAAGGGACCAUGGGCCCGGGAUCCGAAGAGGCCCCCGGCGGAUGAAGCAACCCUUCCGAGAAGCCACAUA
rnacentral:lncRNA from 1 species